rnacentral:rRNA from 1 species
AUUGAACGCUGGCGGCAUGCCUUACACAUGCAAGUCGAACGGCAGCGGACCUUCGGGUGCCGGCGAGUGGCGAACGGGUGAGUAAUAUAUCGGAACGUACCUUUCAGUGGGGGAGUAACGUAGCGAAAGUUACGCUAAUACCGCAUAUUCUGUGAGCAGGAAAGCAGGGGAUCGCAAGACCUUGCGCUGAUUGAGCGGCCGAUAUCAGAUUAGCUAGUUGGUGAGGUAAAGGACUCACCAAGGCGACGAUCUGUAGCGGGUCUGAGAGGAUGAUCCGCCACACUGGAACUGAGACACGGUCCAGACUCCUACGGGAGGCAGCAGUGGGGAAUUUUGGACAAUGGGCGCAAGCCUGAUCCAGCCAUGCCGCGUGAGUGAAGAAGGCCUCGGUUGUAAG